UACGGAGGAUGCGAGCGUUAUCCGGGUUUAUUGGGCGUAAAGCGUGCGCAGGCGGAUUGGUAAGUCUGCUGUGAAAGUUUACAGCUCAACUGUGAAAUUGCAGUGGAAACUGUUUAUCUUGAGUACACUUGAGGUAGGCGGAAUUCCUGGUGUAGCGGUGAAAUGCGUAGAUAUCAGGAAGAACUCCAGUGGCGAAGGCGGCUUACUGGGCUGUAACUGACGCUGAGGCACGAAAGUGUGGGUAGCAAACAGG
rnacentral:rRNA from 1 species